rnacentral:lncRNA from 13 species
GUGGAGGCCGGGUCAGGGCACCUGGCUGGUUUGCAUGUCCUGGGUUGUCGUGAGCAGGAGGAGCAGAUGCACUCAGGCAGCCUGGGAGCAGGCUUAGCUCAGCAGAGUGAGGGCUCCCUGGCCAGGGAGUGCACAGCUUUAAGAGGCACUGAGCAAGCAUCUCUGAGGAGGACUGAGGGGCUGCUGCAGAGGGGAUCCCUUCUCUUGGUGGACAUUUGGUGACUCAUUACCUCUGGGGCUAGGAUUCCAGGUAUCUGUGAGUGAAAAGGACUGGAUGCUCGAAAGUGAUGCUUGAGCAAGACAGGAAAACAGAAGGGCCUCCCCGAUAUAGAAGCAGCCACAACGUGUGUCUGGACAUGCACAGAAGCAGGUGUUGUGUGUGCAGCCUGCAAACCGACUGUGCCAGGGUUGCAGGAAGACUUUUUUAGUAGCCCCAAGAAUGAGGAAUCGACAGUCUGCACAGGUGAAGGUUUGCAGGCAAAUCCACCAAAGGGCUCCAGGUGUCAUUCACUCUCCAUGCCCCCAGAAAAGGAAGCACAGCCUGGCUUUGAAAGGCCCUGGGCCUUCCCUAGCAUGGAAUUCUGCUCCCUGGAGCUCUCCCUUGAAACUCAGCUCUCCUCUUUGAAGCCGCACAGAACCCAUCUGCCCCCAGCAUCCCAUGACGAUCCUGUGCUAUUUGAAGACAGUGAUCACAUCUCCUCUCCAAG